AAACGGGGGAAAGGGGGGAAAGAGUCGCCGUAACCCGCACAGGUAGAAAUACGCGGGAAGUUUAUCCUACAAAAGCGAUAUUUCCUAACUUUUCGUUCGCAGAGCAGAAACAUAUUCGGAGGGAGUGGGGCGAACACAGUGUGUACGCGAGCACCUCGAAAAUUCGGCAACGCCGGGGGUUUUCCAUCCAGGUUGACCCUCGAAGGUUGGAGUACCGUUACGAUUGCCAAUUGCUAAACCCUUCGGAAAAACUCAGUUUAUGACAUGAACGGACCUAUUGAGGACAAACCGAAAAUUAAAUUCUGACUCUAUUGU